ensembl:lncRNA
AGAGCAGCUUAAAGUGUUGAAGUCUAGUGACGGGCCACAGGAAGUGCUGUGAGAGCGAAGCGCUGCUAGGACCAUACAACUUCCCCAAACUUUCGCACUCUUAAUAGGACUACAUUACAUCUACUGACCUCGUUUAAAAAGUCGACUGCGCUUGUUCAAGGAAAGAAGAGUCAAAUUGUUGAAUCCAAAGGAAGACUUUGUGCAAUUGGUGGUCUUGCAAGAACUUUGACAACAACAGAGAUCUACAGUACCAUCCACCCCAUAACAGUGCUACAAGACCACACCUCAUUUAACAAUAUAGACCUCUACCAUGGAAUAACUCAUUCGUGAUGCAGCAAGUCAUCUGAAGUACAAAAGCAAAAUUCUGCAGUUACACAGAAUAUGGCUGUAAAACCAAUGGAGAAAAAAUGUUUACAUGCAACCACCUUGUAAGCCCACUUAGUUCUGCAGUUCACUUGCAUUAAACUCCUUAAAUUAGUACUCCUGGGCUGUAUUAUAAUAAGAAAAAGCAGAGGUAUUGA